rnacentral:rRNA from 1 species
AUACCAGACUCCUACGGGAGGCAGCAGUGGGGGAUAUUGCACAAUGGGGGGAACCCUGAUGCAGCGACGCCGCGUGGGUGAAGGAGCGUUUCGGCGCGUAAAGCCCUAUCAGCAGGAAAGAAAAUGACGGUACCUGACUAAGAAGCCCCGGCUAACUACGUGCCAGCAGCCGCGGUAAUACGUAGGGGGCAAGCGUUAUCCGGAUUUACUGGGUGUAAAGGGGGCGUAGACGGCAGUGCAAGUCCGGAGUGAAAGCCCGGGGCUCAACCCUGGGACUGCUCUGGAAACUGUAAAGCUGGAGUGCGGGAGGGGCAGGCGGAAUUCCUGGUGUAGCGGUGAAAUGCGUAGAUAUCAGGAGGAACACCGGCGGCGAAGGCGGCCUGCUGGACCGUAACUGACGUUGAGGCUCGAAAGCGUGGGGAGCAAACAGGAUUAGAUACCCUCGUA